rnacentral:rRNA from 1 species
UACGGGGGGGGCAAGCGUUGUUCGGAAUUACUGGGCGUAAAGGGCGCGUAGGCGGCUCGCUAAGUCGGAUGUGAAAACUCUGGGCUCAACCCAGAGCCUGCAUUCGAAACUGACGAGCUGGAGUUCUGGAGGGGAAAGCGGAAUUCCUGGUGUAGCGGUGAAAUGCGUAGAUAUCUGGAGGAACACCUAUGGCGAAGGCAGCUCGCUGGGACGGUACUGACGCUGAGGCGCGAAAGCGUGGGGAGCGAACAGG